AUUGAACGCUGGCGGCAGGCCUAACACAUGCAAGUCGAACGAGUGGCGGACGGGUGAGUAAUGUCUGGGAAACUGCCUGAUGGAGGGGGAUAACUACUGGAAACGGUAGAUAAUACUGCAUACCAUCAAUUUUGCUUUGAUGGGAGUAGCUGGUGUUUGGGGUAACGGCUCACUAAGGCGACGCUCCCUAGCUGGUCUGAGAGGAUGACCGGCCACACUGGAACUGAGACACGGUCCAGACGCCUACGGGAGGCAGCAGUGGGGAAUAUUGCGCAAUGGGCGCAAGCCUGAUGCAGCCAUGCCGCGUGUAUGAAGAAGGCCUUCGGGUUGUAAAGUACUUUCAGCGGGGAGGCGUUACCCGCAGAGGAAGCACCGGCUAACUCCGUGCCAGCAGCCGCGGUAAUUC
rnacentral:rRNA from 1 species